UUGUAACCCAGGUUAUAAAAGUCUGAAUUAUUUAAAAAGUACAUUUUAUUAUUAAAAAGGGCACAUAAUUAAUAUAUAGUCUAUUACAAUUAAGAAUAGCUAAUUCUUAAUAAAAACACAAUAAAUAAAAUAAGUCAAUUAAAUAAGGAGCUGGGAAAAUAAUGUAAAUAAAUACAGACACAAAUAUUAGAGGAAAAUAAACUUUAUUUAAUCCAUAAAUAAUUAUUUUUCAUAUUUUGGGAAUACUUUGUUGUUUUAGUAGCACGUCACCUAUUGCAGCCAAUAUGGUGAUCGUAUUACGCUGACAUGAGUGGGAAAUACUGUUGACCCUGACCCAGCACUUCCUUUUGGGUCAAGCAGCCGUCAGGAGCAGGUGAAUGCUGGAAGAAAGUUGACAGAAAGCUAGAUACAAGCCAAACUUAGGUGAUAGAAACCUUAUUAUUACCAGUAAUAACUCUCAUCUACUCUAAAACGCUGAGCUGGUGGAGCCAAGACGCAGUUUGUGGUGAAUGAGGAGCUUAUUAGCCUGAUACACAGAGGUUUUUUUGCAUCGGUCAGGUUUUUUGACUAGAGUUCGAAUUGGAUUCCCUCGUUCCUACGUUUGAUGGCGAGCCUCCCUGGACUUCGACCCUGAAAGCUGUUUGCAAGUACUGUGGACAACUCUGAUCUGUGAAACCCCUUUUUUCCCUUAUUGCUGAACCUUUAUUCAUCUUCAGAGCGGUAGGAGAAAUAUUCACCAUGCCAUAGACUGGACUCUAUGCACAUACCCACACUUCAAACUCCAACUCCCACCUGUGAAACAAAAGAAAAAAGAACUUUAUAUUGUUGUGGUUUUGAUAUAUGUAUAUUGUGUUAUUAUUUUAAUUGAACUUAAUUCUUAUUAUUAUAGAUUUUCCUACCCGGGUAGUAGUAAUAUAAAUAGUAUCACAUACAACAACAUCAGGGAAAGAUAAUAUUGGUAUUAUUCAUAUUGAAUAUUCUAUAUCUUUUGUUUAUUAUUUUCUUUUAUUUAAUAGUAUUCGUACUUACCUUUUCAAUAAAUGGAGGCUUCCACUAAGCUCCAAAUUCCA